AUUGAACGCUGGCGGCAGGCUUAACACAUGCAAGUCGAGCGGGGUGAUGGUGCUUGCACUAUCACUUAGCGGCGGACGGGUGAGUAAUGCUUAGGAAUCUGCCUAUUAGUGGGGGACAACAUCUCGAAAGGGAUGCUAAUACCGCAUACGUCCUACGGGAGAAAGCAGGGGAUCACUUGUGACCUUGCGCUAAUAGAUGAGCCUAAGUCGGAUUAGCUAGUUGGUGGGGUAAAGGCCUACCAAGGCGACGAUCUGUAGCGGGUCUGAGAGGAUGAUCCGCCACUGGGACUGAGACACGGCCCAGACUCCUACGGGAGGCAGCAGUGGGGAAUAUUGGACAAUGGGGGGAACCCUGAUCCAGCCAUGCCGCGUGUGUGAAGAAGGCCUUAUGGUUGUAAAGCACUUUAAGCGAGGAGGAGGCUCUUUUGGUUAAUACCCAAGAUGAGUGGACGUUACUCGCAGAAUAAGCACCGGCUAACUCUGUGCCAGCAGCCGCGGUAA
rnacentral:rRNA from 1 species